UGCCCGCUCCUCACUCCCGCCUUUCCCACGUGCCUCCUUUAGCGCCAGCCAAGCUCUGCUGGCUACUGCUGACAGCUGAUCAGGGUUUGCGGUGGUGGGGUCGCUGCCCUGGGAGAAGGGGCUGCGCUGAUGUGUUCCUUGGUCCCUGCAACAUCCUCUACUCCUGGGUCAUCGAGAACCAGGACUUCAGCUUGGAGCGCCCGGUAGCAUCAAGGGCAAACACCCCCAGCCUUGGGUCCCAUUCCAUCCUACCUCUCCAAUCUGCUGACCCUAGCAGCUACCUGAAAGCACUCAGGGCUGAGAAGUGAGGAGAUCUCAAGAGCGUGAGCAGGAAUCCCGGUUAUAAGGUUCGGCUCUGAUCCAAACUGAGGGCCAGUACAUGGGUCCAGGUCUGGCAGAGUGACCUGGAAAGACAGCUGACACUUGUGAGGAUGAGUGGAAUCAUGCAAGUGGAGUCCAGGACAUGAAGGCACAAAUGGCUGGCAUUACCUCUGGACCUGGUUCCCUCAAACUGAAGGUCAAGAAGGACAGGACAUCGUGGUCAUCUGGAAGAGGGACAGAUGAAGGGGAGAUAAGGAGCUUUUCACCCAGCAGCCCAUCCAUCCAGACUCUACUAUCUGCCAGGAAAACAAGAGGCUUGUGUGGCUCUGGGCAACUCGGACCUUUGUCUCAUGGGGAAGGAACUUUCCAUGGCUCCCCAGUACCCAGGGUUGAAAGACUAAAGUCCUGGCAUUCGAGACUCCCAUACUCUGGCUGCAGCCUGCUUUUCAGCUUCAGGACCCUCCACGGGCUCUCCACUGCACGACAUCCCGCUGUUCCAGUUCCAUACUGUAGCUCGUGCGGUCCCCCUUUUUAUC